rnacentral:misc_RNA from 1 species
CUAUGAAGUGUAUAUACAGAAUAAACUCAUUGAUGCUUAUGGCAAGUGCGAUUGUUUGGAUGAUGCACGCAAGGUGUUCGAUAAAAUGCCCGAGAAGAACACUUUUACCUGGAACUCCAUUAUGAGCACGUUGAUGAAGUCUGGUUUUCUCGAUGAGGGCGCUUGGUUAUUUGCAUCAAUGCCCGAGCCUGACCAAUGCUCUUGGAAUUCAAUCAUUGCUGGUUUUGCUCAGCAUGAUCGGUUUGAAGAAGCUUUGGAUUUUUUUGUUAGGAUGCAUGGGAAAGGUUUUGUUCUUAAUGAGUAUACGUUUGGUAGUGCUCUUAGUGCUUGUGCAGGGUUAAAGCAUCUGAAAAUGGGUACCCAAAUUCACGGUUUGAUGUUUAAAUCUCAAUUCUCAUUGGAUGUUUAUAUGGGCUCUGCUCUUGUUGACAUAUAUUCUAAAUGUGGGGUUGUGGCUUGUGCUCAAAGGGUUUUUGAUGGGAUGAGAGAGAGGAAUGUUGUUUCUUGGAAUAGCUUGAUUACGUGUUAUGAACAAAAUGGUCCAGCAAGGGAAGCUUUGGAAGUUUUUGAAAGGAUGUUAGAGAGGGGG